ensembl:snoRNA Gm22882 predicted gene, 22882
AUAGCCCGCAGUAACGUUGCAGGUGCAGCUGCUGUGCCACAUGUGUGUCAGUAAGUGGCAGAAAGGAGAGUCUGUACUCAGUGUUCUGACCUAUGAAUAUCUGAAUGAUAGCCUAACUAACACU